GGGGAAUCUUGCACAAUGGGGGCAACCCUGAUGCAGCGACGCCGCGUGAGCGAUGAAGCCCUUCGGGGCGUAAAGCUCUUUCGACCGGAACGAUAAUGACGGUACCGGGAGAAGAAGCUGCGGCUAACUACGUGCCAGCAGCCGCGGUAAUACGUAGGCAGCAAGCGUUGUUCGGAGUUACUGGGCGUAAAGAGUGCGUAGGCGGUUUUCUAAGUUCGGUGUGAAAUCUCCCGGCUUAACUGGGAGGGUGCGCCGAAGACUGGGAAGCUGGAGUGUGGGAAGCAAACA
rnacentral:rRNA from 1 species